AAAUCAGGUCAUAAUUAUGCUUCAUUUUGUGGAGUAUAGCCAUUAUCUUGCUGAAAAAUAUCUGCGUUAAUCAUUUUUACUUUGUCUUUAUGAGGAUAAAAUAGUGACAGAAUGAACUAGACAAUU